rnacentral:rRNA from 1 species
GUCUUUUUGAGUAUAAUUUAAAGUCUAACCUGCCCAAUGAAAUUUUAAAUGGCCGCAGUAUUUUGACUGUGCAAAGGUAGCAUAAUCAUUAGUUUCUUAAUUAGGAACUGGAAUGAAUGGUUGAACGAGAAAAUAACUGUCUCUUUAUAAAUUUUUUAGAAUUUUAUUUUUAAGUUAAAAAGCUUAAAUAUUAUUAAAAGACGAGAAGACCCUAUAGAGUUUUAUAUAAUAUUAAAUUAAUAUUAAAAGUUGUUUAGUAAUUAAUAUAUUUUAAAUUAUAUUUUAUUGGGGUGAUAGAAAAAUUUAAUAAACUUUAAAUAAAUAGAAACAUUAAUUUAUGAAUUAAUUGAUCCAUUAAUAGUGAUUAUAAGAUUAAAUUACCUUAGGGAUAACAGCGUUAUUUCUUUUUAGAGUUCAAAUCGAUAAAGAAGUUUGCGACCUCGAUGUUGGAUUAAAAUAUAAUUUUGGUGUAGAAGCUAAAAUAUUAGGUCUGUUCGACCUUUAAAAUUUUACAUGAUCUGAGUUUAAACCGGUGUAAGCCAGGUUGGUUUCUAUCUUUAAUAGAAAAAUUUAAUAUUUUAGUACGAAAGGACCAAAUAUUAGUAAAAUUUAUUUAAUAUGAAUAAUAUUAAUAUA